rnacentral:rRNA from 1 species
GAUCCUGGCUCAGGAUGAACGCUAGCGGCAGGCUUAACACAUGCAAGUCGAGGGGCAGCAUGACACGGAGAUUCGUCGAAGUGUUGAUGGCGACCGGCGCAAGGGUGCGUAACGCGUGAGCAACUUGCCCGUUUCUGGGGAAUAACCGGUGGAAACGCCGACUAAUACCCCAUAGUAUAACGAAGAGGCAUCUUUUUGUUAUUAAAGAGUUUCGGAAACGGAUAGGCUCGCGUGACAUUAGCUAGAUGGCGGGGUAACGGCCCACCAUGGCGACGAUGUCUAGGGGUUCUGAGAGGAAGGUCCCCCACACUGGAACUGAGACACGGUCCAGACUCCUACGGGAGGCAGCAGUGAGGAAUAUUGGACAAUGGGCGAGAGCCUGAACCAGCCAAGUAGCGUGAAGGAAGACUGCCCUAUGGGUUGUAAACUUCUUUUGUUCGGGAAUAAAGUGCAGUACGCGUACUGUUUUGUAUGUACCGUUCGAAUAAGCAUCGGCUAAUUCCGUG